rnacentral:rRNA from 1 species
AAGUGGGAUGACGUCAAAUCAUCAUGCCCCUUAUGACCUGGGCUACACACGUGCUACAAUGGUUGGUACAACGAGUUGCGAGUCGGUGACGGCGAGCUAAUCUCUUAAAGCCAAUCUCAGUUCGGAUUGUAGGCUGCAACUCGCCUACAUGAAGUCGGAAUCGCUAGUAAUCGCGGAUCAGCACGCCGCGGUGAAUACGUUCCCGGGCCUU